rnacentral:rRNA from 1 species
AUUGAACGCUGGUGGCAGGCUUAACACAUGCAAGUCGAACGAGUGGCGGACGGGUGAGUAAUGUCUGGGAAACUGCCUGAUGGAGGGGGAUAACUACUGGAAACGGUAGCUAAUACCGCAUACCAUCAGAUGUGCCCAGAUGGGAUUAGCUUGUUGGUGGGGUAACGGCUCACCAAGGCGACGAUCCCUAGCUGGUCUGAGAGGAUGACCCGCCACCCUGGAACUGCGACACGGUCCAGACUCCUACGGGAGGCAGCAGUGGAGAAGAUUGCACAAUGGGCGCAAGCCUGAUGCAGCCAUUCCGCGUGUAUGAAGAAGGCCUUCGGGUUGUAAAGUACUUUCAGCGGGGAGGCGUUACCCGCAGAAUAAGCACCGGCUAACUCCGUGCCAGCAGCCGCGGUAAUAC